AUACGGAAGGUCCGGGCGUUAUCCGGAUUUAUUGGGUUUAAAGGGAGCGCAGGCGGAGAUGCAAGCGUGACGUCAAAUUUCGGGGCUCAACCCCGUCUCGCGUCGCGAACUGCGUCCCUUGGUUGCGGGAAGGGGAGGCGGAACUCGUGUGUAGCGGUGAAAUGCAUAGAUAUCACGAAGAACUCCGAUCGCGAAGGCAGCCUUCCGGCCCGUCAACGACGCUCAUGCUCGAAGGUGCGGGUAUCAAACAGGAUUAGAUACCCUGGUAGUCCGCACAGUAAACGAUGGACACCCGCGGUUUGGCCUGUAUGGCUGAGCCGCCAAGCGAAAGCGUUAAGUGUCCCACCGGGGGAGUACGCCGGCAACGGUGAAACUCAAAUGAAUUGGCGGGG
rnacentral:rRNA from 1 species